rnacentral:rRNA from 1 species
CAGUAGCCGCGGUAAUACGUAGGUGGCAAGCGUUGUCCGGAAUUAUUGGGCGUAAAGGGCUCGCAGGCGGUUUCUUAAGUCUGAUGUGAAAGCCCCCGGCUCAACCGGGGAGGGUCAUUGGAAACUGGGAAACUUGAGUGCAGAAGAGGGGAGUGGAAUUCCACGUGUAGCGGUGAAAUGCGUAGAGAUGUGGAGGAACACCAGUGGCGAAGGCGACUCUCUGGUCUGUAACUGACGCUGAGGAGCGAAAGCGUGGGGAGCGAACAGGAUUAGAUACCCCUGUAGUCCCUGUCUCUUAUAC